GGACGCGUAGCUCAGUGGUUAGAGCAUCACACUUAUAAUGUGAGGGUCCUAGGUUCAAAUCCUAGCGCGUCCA
rnacentral:tRNA from 1 species